rnacentral:rRNA from 1 species
UACGUAGGGUGCGAGCGUUGUCCGGAAUUAUUGGGCGUAAAGAGCUUGUAGGCGGUUUGUCGCGUCUGCUGUGAAAUCUCAAGGCUCAACCUUGAGCUUGCAGUGGGUACGGGCAGACUAGAGUGUGGUAGGGGAGACUGGAAUUCCUGGUGUAGCGGUGAAAUGCGCAGAUAUCAGGAGGAACACCGAUGGCGAAGGCAGGUCUCUGGGCC